AUGUAUUGUGUAAGUAUGAUAUUUGUAACCUUUUAAAUUACGCGCCGAUUUCUCGCGCGUAACUUUUGUAUGUUACUGCGCAUGCGAGGACACGAAGGUAAGCAUAGCGGGCAGCCAUAUUGACAGAUAGAGAUGUGAAUAUAUUGGGAAAGCCAUAAGGAGCGUGAAAUUCAGCCACGCUCCAUGCCAAUGGCCAUAUCAUGACAAUGUCCUGUCAACGCUAUAUACAUACCUAUUAUCUAUGAGCUGACGGUGAAUGUAUGGAGGCCCUGAACAGCCGUAUGCAGACGAUUGUUUACCAAAAUGGACACAUGGUCGUCUUCUUAUAACGCCUGGCGGUGUGGUACUACAAUGACUGUUAUGUCGUUGCAGGAGUUCUGAUAUUCUCUGACAUAUGUAUCUGAAUAUUAUGGAGGCCCAGCUGUGUGUUGUGGCUAUAUUAACUGUCUGGUCAUUCAUUGAUUGAUUUACGACCAUUUCAUGAGAACGUUCGACUUGACUGUACUAUAUGUACAUCAUGCUGGUGUCUAUUUGUUUGGUGAAACUCUCUCCAUGCGGUGCCUGAUAGCUGACAGGUGAUUUGGAUUUCGCAGACAUCUAUGGAAUAUCAGUGGGGACAACAACGUGAAUACACCAAGAGGUCCAGGAGGGUUAUAUUGACAUUUUAUGUGUGGGAUCUACUGCGCCAGUCACCACCAGUGCUCAUGAACUUUAGGGAUGUUAGGUGUAAACAUAUUUGUGUAGUAUAGCGACCAGUGUUGUGAAUAUAUUAGUGAAUCAUAAUAUUGGAGUGAGACAACAUCAUUUAGAGUGAGAGAGGGACUAUCAUGUGUGCAAGUGUAUAUUAUAUUGUAAAGUUGUACAUUCACUUUGUAAAUUGUAAUAAAUGUAAAUAUUGUAACCCUU